rnacentral:rRNA from 1 species
GAUGAACGCUGGCGGCGUGCCUAAUACAUGCAAGUCGAGCGAACGGACGAGAAGCUUGCUUUUCUGAUGUUAGCGGCGGACGGGUGAGUAACACGUGUAUAACCUACCUAUAAGACUGGGAUAACUUCGGGAAACCGGAGCUAAUACCGGAGAAUAUUUUGCACCGCAUGGGUCAAAAGUGAAAGACGGUCUUGCUGUCACUUAUAGAUGCAUCCGCGCUGCAUUAGCUAGUUGGUAAGGUAACGGCUUACCAAGGCAACGAUGCGUAUCCGACCUGAGAGGGUGAUCGGCCGCCCUGGAACGGAGACACGGUCCAGACUCCUACGGGAGGGAGCAGUAGGGAAUCUGCCGCAAUGGUCGGAAGCCUGACGGAGCAACGCCGCGUGAGUGAUGAAGGUCUUCGGAUCGUAAAACUCUGUUAUUAGGGAAGAACAGAUGUGUAAGUAACUGUGCACAGCGUGACGGUACCUAAUCAGAAAGCCCCGGCUAACUACGUG